rnacentral:rRNA from 1 species
AUGCGUAGGGAGCAAGCGUUGUCCGGAUUUACUGGGUGUAAAGGGCGCGUAGGCGGGAAUGCAAGUCAGGUGUGAAAUCUAUGGGCUCAACCCAUAAACUGCACUUGAAACUGUGUUUCUUGAGUGAUGGAGAGGCAGGCGGAAUUCCUAGUGUAGCGGUGAAAUGCGUAGAUAUUAGGAGGAACACCAGUGGCGAAGGCGGCCUGCUGGACAUUAACUGACGCUGAUGCGCGAAAGCGUGGGUAGCAAACAGGAUUAGAUACCCUGGUAGUCCACGCUGUAAACGAUGAAUACUAGGUGUGGGGGGACUGACCCCUUCCGUGCCGGAGUUAACACAAUAAGUAUUCCACCUGGGGAGUACGGCCGCAAGGCUGAA